ACUACUACUGCAAACAAUACGAACGUAUACACGCAGCAGACGACAACCCAAAUCACAGUAACCGAAAGCGUCAUGCUUUGUUAGCCGUCGUCACUAUGAAGCCCGGCGGAGGAUUUUCCCGGCACUUAGUGAGAUCAACCCGACAACUUCCGCUUCCGCUCCACACAUAUGAAUCGGAAUAUACGACACGCCUCUUUUUGAGCUCCUUCUUCUGAGUUGACGGCUGCUUCGAGUGGAAACACGUGAUAGGAGGCCCUUCCGAGAUCUCCUCAGGAUGGAUGUGGAAGACUUCGACUUCCUGCUCGGUAAAGUGGAGCCGCUCAUCUGCAAGAAGGACACCAAAAUGAGGAAGGCCAUCACUGCCAGACUGCGUGCGUCAGUGACACUGAGAUUUCUUGCUACUGGCAAAGAGAAUAAAGAAUACAAAUAAAAAAAUAAAAAAUCA